rnacentral:misc_RNA from 1 species
GAUGAAGAACGCAGCGAAAUGCGAUAAGUAAUGCGAAUUGCAGAAUUUCCGUGAGUCAUCGAAUCUUUGAACGCACAUUGCGCCCACUGGUAUUCUGGUGGGCAUGCCUGUUCGAGCGUCAUUUCAACCCUCAAGCCUGGCUUGGUGUUGGGGCUCUGCGUCUGCAGUCCCUUAAAUCCAGUGGCGGACACGCUAGGUCUCCGAGCGCAGUAGUUUCUCCUCGCUCAGGGCGUCCGGCGUGGGCUUGCCUCGCACCCAUCUUUUACAAGGUUGACCUCGGAUCAGGUAGGAAUACCCGCUGAACUUAAGCAUAUCAAUAAGCGGAGGA